rnacentral:misc_RNA from 1 species
UCUCCGAUUGUGUAUGGACAUCUCACGUACGCAGUCACCGUCUUUCCCCUCGCUGGUUGUCAGCAUCGUAUCCCGCCCACACGACCGCCGCCACUCAAAGCAAUGAAGAUCAAGAAGAAGGAUCUGCGCAAGCGCGAGGCGCAGCUGCCGAUCAACUACCCAGAUCCCGAUGUCCUUCCGGACUCACUGCCGGGGGGCGUCAUCGACCUCGAGUCGGAGAUGGUGCAGGUGGAGAUCCUGUGUAAGCGUCUGGCCCACAACGAGGUGGCGGUGCGUGAUGCCGUUCUGGCCGAGGUGCCGCACUAUCUGGAGCGACUCACCGAGGCCAUGGCCGCGAUGGAGAAAACUUACGAGGCUGAGAUCGCGGAGGUGAGGGCCUACUUCAAGGCGCAUCCGAAGACGCCGAACCCGUACCGCUAUGAGAACCUUCCACUGGCGCUGCAGCGGUUCCGGGAGAAGGAGGCCGAACAGGAGCGCGAGGACCGCCGGCGCGUGGCCAUGCGCGAGUUCCGCCAUCGGCAGGCUCAGGAGCGGCGUGACAAGGAGCUCUAUGGUCGCUACGACAACCCUGCAGGCGACUUCGCAGCGAACAACGAUGACGAUGUGGAAGCUGGUCUGAACGUCGGGCCGAAGCCAGUGCAUGUUUAUCAAGGCGAAAACGUGCACCGCGAGCGCUAUCAGACUUGGAUGGAGGCGUGGUGUGAUGUGGAGCUUGUGUUACUGAAGCUGUGCCGCGGCAUCCACUACUGCCUCUGGCACUCCGACAAGCCGCUCGUACAACUCGCCUGCGCGCAGAAGAUUGCGGACCUUCUUCAUGCCCCGCGGACGACGCGCUGCAAGGUGCUCUUUUAUGGGUGUCUCUUCCGCGUGCUGGCGCGCGAGUGGCCCACGAUCGACCGGUACCGCAUGGACAAGUACCUGGCCCUCGUGCGUCGUAUGGUGUUCGCGUACGUGAAGUUUGUGAAGGAUGUGCAUGGUGGCGAUGCAUCGGCUCCUUCAGCCGGUGCUUCUCCCCCGAAGCGAGAGAGCGCCGCCGCCGCGGCGCUGCGCUCGCCGACCGAGAGGAGCAAGAAGAGCGCUAAGCGCAGCCGCGACGACAAGGCCGCUGUGGCGGAGCCGGAGGCUGACACCGCCGCUCUUAGCGCGCUGUGGAAGACAGCUGCCGGUGUCUCUCAGGCCGCCUUGCACAAGUACAUCGGCACCGUUACGGCAACCGCAAACGUAGUGGGCGAAAUCUUCUACAUCCUGCAGCGUCAGAUCUUCUCGUCCAGCACGAGCGUCGGCCUGACGAUGCACAUCUGCGAUGUGGCGUUUGACGAGCUUGUCAGAGCUGAGCUUGACACCAACCUCUUCCUCGCCCUGUCCGCCGGGAUCCCCCUCUACGCCAUGAGCCAAGGCAACUACGUGGAGAAGCGAGUGCUGGAUAACUUUUUCCCCCCCCUGGCCGGCGGGGUGUACGCGCAGCGGAGGGCAGAGCAGCUAGCGCAGGCGAUGGCGGCCAAGGCACCGGCGACGCGGAAGCGCGCUAGCAAGCGAAACGGCAACGGAGACACCACAGCUUCGCUGGAGGCUGUUGAGGCAUUGGCCGCGGAGCAGGCGGUCGCUGAGGCUCGCACCGUGAUGCAGGAGAUCGCGUUUUUCUGCCGAAAGUAUGCCGUGGCCCGCGGUGUGGCGCAUGAGGUGCGUCCCAUGUUCUCCGAGGCAGAGCUCAUCAUGCGACAGUCGGCGGAUCCUGAGUCCUUCCAACCGCUGACGCCGACUGCUCAGCGUCGGCGCAUCGAGCGAGAGCUGAAGGAGGUGGACGGCACGCGUGAGAAGGUCCGUAGCGAGCGCCAGGCGAUGCGUGAAAUGAAGAAGCAGGACCGCCACGCAGCACUCAAAGAGCGGGUCGAGGCACGCGUGGCGGCUGUGGUGGCGGAGAAGGGCGAUAAGGCUGCGAGCGUGAGCAAGGCGGUGCUGCGAAAGAAAAUCAUCGCCGAGGAAAUGCGGGCGAAGAGAAAGCCGGUGCACAAUACGAAGCGCAAGAAAGCCUAUCACCUCACGAAGCAGGAUUUGUACGGCGACGCCGACGCGCAGGCUGACGGUGACUAGGUCGCUCGCAGUGUACUGCGUACUUCUCUCUAGUUUCCUCCCUCCGUACUUGGGUCGCGACACACGUGCGUCGAGGCGUAAUUGCACGUGACGACGUUAUCUGUGGUGGUGAUGGUGGCCGUGCUUGAGACUUCCGCGAGUUUUUCGAUGAACAUGCCUCUGACCCCCCACCCUGAACAUGCUCUUCACGAUACCGGGUGGGAAGAGGAACGCAAGCGGACGAAAAGAGAGUGACUCCGGCCUUCGCCCUUGACCUUGCUCUUUCCCUCCCGCUCCCUACCUUCUUGGAUUCUUCCUCUCUCUUGAAGGACGCGUGUUGCCGGAGUGACGUCUUUCCUUUGUUUCUCCUUUAUUUUUUUUUAGUGUGCUUGGGUUCUUCGCUGUUUGGUUAAUCGAAUAACGCGGAUCUAAUCGCUCGCCACCGCCACCACGGCAAAAUAAGACACGACAACAACAGCGUAAAAAGGGGAGGCGCCCAAAUAAAGUUCUCACAGAAGCGGAGGGAGACCGCAGAGCAGAUGCAAAGGAGAAGUACUCUGUGCUUUUUUGUUUUGCGGUCAUUCUAUUUGUGUGCGCGAGCUUUAGGGUCUCCUGCUCCGUGCGUCGUUCGCUUGCCGCAUUC